GAUGAACGCUAGCGACAGGCUUAACACAUGCAAGUCGAGGGGCAGCAUGAGGUAGCAAUACCUUGAUGGCGACCGGCGCACGGGUGAGUAACGCGUAUGCAACCUGCCCGAUACCGGGGUAUAGCCCAUGGAAACGUGGAUUAACACCCCAUAGUACUUUUAUCCUGCAUGGGAUGUGAGUUAAAUGUUCAAGGUAUCGGAUGGGCAUGCGUCCUAUUAGUUAGUUGGCGGGGUAACAGCCCACCAAGACGAUGAAAGGUAGGGGUUCUGAGAGGAAGGGCCCCCACAUUGGAACUGAGACACGGUCCAAACGCCUACGGGAGGCAGCAGUGAGGAAUAUUGGUCAAUGGACGUAAGUCUGAACCAGGCAAGUCGCGUGAGGGAAGACUGCCCUAUGGGUUGUAAACCUCUUUUAUAAGGGAAGAAUAAGUUCUACGUGUAGAAUGAUGCCUGUACCUUAUGAAUAAGCAUCGGCUAACUCCGUGCCAGCAGCCGCAGUAA
rnacentral:rRNA from 1 species